rnacentral:misc_RNA from 1 species
UACGUAGGGGGCGAGCGUUGUCCGGAAUUAUUGGGCGUAAAGCGCUCGCAGGCGGUUUCUUAGGUCUGAUGUGAAAGCCCACGGCUCAGCCGUGGAGGGUCAUUGGAAACUGGGGAACCUGAGUGCAGAAGAGGAGAGUGGAAUUCCACGUGUAGCGGUGAAAUGCGUAGAGAUGUGGAGGAACGCCAGUGGCGAAGGCGACUCUCUGGUCUGUAACUGACGCUGAGGCGCGAAAGCGUGGGGAGCAAACAGG